rnacentral:lncRNA from 1 species
CCUAGAAGCAAACACCAGUAAGAAAUCGUCCGGCCAGAAGCGGUGAGCCGUAAAGCACCCCUCGAGAGCCGGCAGCCUCGCCAUAACCACCCUGGACACCGCCACCUGAGCAAUGCGCGGUCUUGUGCCAGUAACAGAGACCACCACACUCCAGCGAAGGGCUUGUUCUUCAGCAUCAAUCUCCACACUCCUUGGGAUAAUACAGAGCUCCACCCCGGGCCGCAGGGAAGCCGCCCCCAGCGUUAGGCCAUCCACAGCAGUGGCAGCCACCUGCCGCGGCACCAAGGAAGCAGGCUUAGCCACCUGCCGCGGCACCGGCGCCGGCUGCACCACCGACGGAGCUGGGGCAGGGGGCGCCACCGGGGCAUAGGGCACCACCGGGGCAGGGGUUGGCACCACCAGUGGAGGACGUGGGCCGAGCCUGGCCAGAAGGGC